AGCAGCCGCGGUAAUUCCGGCUCCAAUAGCGUAUAUUAAAGUUGUUGCAGUUAAAAAGCUCGUAGUUGAAUUUCGGGGUCAGUAGGCUGGUCGUGCCACGGGUAUGUACUGGUCUUACUGAUUCCUCCUUCCUGAUGAACCGUAAUGCCAUUAAUUUGGUGUUGCGGGGAAUCUGGACUGUUACUUUGAAAAAAUUAGAGUGUUUAAAGCAGGCUAACGCUUGAAUACAUUAGUAUGGAAUAAUGAAAUAGGACGAUCGAUCCUAUUUUGUUGGUUUCUAGGAUUGACGUAAUGAUUAAUAGGGAUAGUUGGGGGCAUUAGUAUUCAAUUGUCAGAGGUGAAAUUCUUGGAUUUAUUGAAGACUAACUACUGCGAAAGCAUUUGCCAAGGAUGUUUUCAUUAAUCAAGAACGAAAGUUAGGGGAUCGAAGACGAUCAGAUACCGUCGUAGUCUUAACCAUAAACUAUGCCGACUAGGGAUCGGAUGAUGUUAAUUUUUUAAUGACUCAUUCGGCGCCUUACG
rnacentral:rRNA from 1 species